CAUUUGACACAGUGAAGUAGAUAAUACAGCAUAUCCGAAGAAUUCAUAGUACUUUGGGCUUUUAUCACCAUCAAUUUUAGGCCCUUUUCCAAUGAAUCCAUCAGAGUAUACUUUAUUAUCUACCGCACAAUCUAGCUCACCAAGAGCACCCAGAAAUCCAGGCNUGCCAGAAUGGUAUUCAAGUACCAUAUUCGGAGUUUUCUGAUGCACAGGAUCCCCUUAUAGAGGCAAGUGCAGAGCAUACUUACUCUGAAAUAUGCCUUAUAUUCGGAGCUUUCUGAUGCACAAGAUCCU
rnacentral:lncRNA from 1 species